GUGUCAGCCGCCGCGGUAAUACGUAGGGGGCUAGCGUUGUCCGGAAUCAUUGGGCGUAAAGCGCGUGUAGGCGGUCCGGUAAGUCCGCUGUGAAAGUCGGGGGCUCAACCCUCGGAUGCCGGUGGAUACUGUCGGGCUUGAGUACGGAAGAGGCGAGUGGAAUUCCUGGUGUAGCGGUGAAAUGCGCAGAUAUCAGGAGGAACACCAAUUGCGAAGGCAGCUCGCUGGGACGUUACUGACGCUGAGACGCGAAAGCGUGGGGAGCAAACAGGAUUAGAUACCCCCGUAGUCC
rnacentral:rRNA from 1 species